GGAAGAUUUUUCUCAAAAUGAUAAAGAACGAACAAUGUUUUCGACGGCAAAAUAAGGUAUCGGGGAAGUUGGGUGACAUAGACAAAUAAAUACAUAUAUAAUUAACUUCCAUACAUCAAGAGAAGAAAAGAACCACAGUGGAGGACAAGGAGUCCAUAAAUUGACUCGAAAAAAGAACUCGAUGAAACUUGUCCUAUAUUCUUACUGCACUUCUAUAUUCCAUGCCACUUCAUACUUCCAGCUUCUAACUAUUCUUCAGCAUAUCUUCUCCAUAAACCCCACUUAAACUAUAGUUUUUUUUCUUUUUCGUUCUUCCCGUAUCAUACUAAGAUAUAAUCAGUGAACUCCAUUACCUGUAGGCUGUAAAGAAACUAUGAUUUGA
rnacentral:misc_RNA from 1 species